rnacentral:lncRNA from 1 species
AAGAUAAAUGAUCCAAUGGAAAUUACUCUUAUUGGAAUAAAAUACAGAAAGAGGAAGAGAAAGGAAGAGUUUAAGAGAUGCCGGAGCUACUGUAAGUGUCUGAGAUCAAUCUCUUGAGCUAUGCAUUCAGGAACACAGCGAUUAGUGUUGACUAACCAUUUACUCUAAGCCUUUAUACCUCACAGCCUGCUCAACCACAAAGCACGUGCCAACAGCAACCAGAGCUCAGCAAGGGACGGAGGGUCCACGUUGCCUGGAGAGGUUCAGGUCGACUUCUUGGAAAGAACAGGACUUUAGUGAAACCUUGCUGGAUGCUUAGGGGUCUUGAUACAGAAAGGUGGGAGCAGGAAGAGAGAGAGAUGCACAAAAGCAAAAAAACACAAACAAAUUAGAUCACCUCACCUCCAGGAAAAAAGGCUUUCAAAGGUUUCCUGACUGAAAUGGAACAUGGAAUACAGAGACAAAAAUUUAAUGGAAUGGCCCCACGGUGGGCUUUGCCUGUUAAUCUUCGGGUGGGUGGGCAGUAGAAGCAACUGGAAACAUGAAGAAAGGGUGGCAUGAAGGGGUGAUGUUUUAGGAAGGGAAAUACUUGCUUGUAUCAGUCCUGUUGCAAAGAGGUAAGUCUGGAUCUUGAAUGUUCUCCAAAGGCUUGAUCCCCAACCUACAGUGCUACGGGGAGGUGGUGGCAGCAGCUUUGUGAGGGGGAGCCUAAUGGAGGCAAGUCAGGCCAUGGGGAUGUGUCCUUGAAGGGGAUAGUGGGAAUCUGGCCCCUUCCUCUCUCUCUCUAUCACUUUCUGGCUGCCAUGAGGUGAGUAGCUUUGCUCCAUCAUGUGCUCCCGCCGUGAUGUUUGGUCUCUUCACAGGCCCAAGAUCAGUGGAACCAAAGGACCACGAAC